ensembl:lncRNA
GCUACAUCAUCCUCAUCCUCACCUGUGAGGAAACGUUCAUCACCUGCCCCUGUGACUGCUACAUCAUCCUCGUCCUCAUCCUCACCUGUUAAACAGCAUUCAUCAAGAAAAAGACGGGUAUUCCAGUCAUCUGAUGCACCCUGUGCUAUGUGUACCUCUGUAAAGGCAUCACCACCCUCUCGCCCUUCUCCACUCCCCUCAUCAUCAUCAUCAUCAGCUGCCCCUGUGAUUGGCACAUCAUCUUCAUCCUCCCCAUCAUCACCUGCCCCUUUGCCCUGUGAUGCAUCCACUUCUGUGAUCUCUCCAUCACAGGUGUCCCAGACACUCUCAAUAAGGGAG